GCGGAGGAAAAGAAACCAACAGGGAUUGCCUCAGUAACGGCGAGUGAAGCGGCAACAGCUCAAAUUUGAAAUCUGGCCCUAGGCCCGAGUUGUAAUUUGCAGAGGAUGCUUUUGGUGCGGUGCCUUCCAAGUUCCCUAGAACGGGACGCCAGAGAGGGUGAGAGCCCCGUACAGUUGGACACCAAGCCUUUGUAAAGCUCCUUCGACGAGUCGAGUAGUUUGGGAAUGCUGCUCAAAAUGGGAGGUAUAUUUCUUCUAAAGCUAAAUACCGGCCAGAGACCGAUAGCGCACAAGUAGAGUGAUCGAAAGAUGAAAAGCACUUUGAAAAGAGGGUUAAACAGCACGUGAAAUUGUUAAAAGGGAAGCGCUUGUGACCAGACUUGCGUCCGGUGAAUCACCCAGCUCUCGCGGCUGGGGCACUUCGCCGGCUCAGGCCAGCAUCAGCUCGCUGUCGGGGACAAAAGCUUCAGGAACGUAGCUCUCUUCGGGGAGUGUUAUAGCCUGUUGCAUAAUACCCUUCGGCGGGCUGAGGUACGCGCUCCGCAAGGAUGCUGGCAUAAUGGUCAUCAGCGACCCGUCUUGAAACACGGACCAAGGAGUCAACCUUAUGUGCGAGUGUUCGGGUGUCAAACCCCUACGCGUAAUGAAAGUGAACGCAGGUGAGAGCUUCGGCGCAUCAUCGACCGAUCCUGAUGUUCUCGGAUGGAUUUGAGUAAGAGCAUAUAGGGUUGGACCCGAAAGAAGGUGAACUAUGCGUGUAUAGGGUGAAGCCAGAGGAAACUCUGGUGGAGGCUCGCAGCGGUUCUGACGUGCAAAUCGAUCGUCAAAUAUG
rnacentral:sRNA from 1 species